rnacentral:rRNA from 1 species
GGAGGAAAAGAAACCAACCGGGAUUGCCUUAGUAACGGCGAGUGAAGCGGCAAAAGCUCAAAUUUGAAAUCUGGUACCUUCGGUGCCCGAGUUGUAAUUUGGAGAGGGCAACUUUGGGGCCGUUCCUUGUCUAUGUUCCUUGGAACAGGACGUCAUAGAGGGUGAGAAUCCCGUGUGGCGAGGAGUGCGGUUCUUUGUAAAGUGCCUUCGAAGAGUCGAGUUGUUUGGGAAUGCAGCUCUAAGUGGGUGGUAAAUUCCAUCUAAAGCUAAAUAUUGGCGAGAGACCGAUAGCGAACAAGUACAGUGAUGGAAAGAUGAAAAGAACUUUGAAAAGAGAGUGAAAAAGUACGUGAAAUUGUUGAAAGGGAAGGGCAUUUGAUCAGACAUGGUGUUUUGUGCCCUCUGCUCCUUGUGGGUAGGGGAAUCUCGCAUUUCACUGGGCCAGCAUCAGUUUUGGUGGCAGGAUAAAUCCAUAGGAAUGUAGCUUGCCUCGGUAAGUAUUAUAGCCUGUGGGAAUACUGCCAGCUGGGACUGAGGACUGCGACGUAAGUCAAGGAUGCUGGCAUAAUGGUUAUAUGCCGCCCGUCUUGA